rnacentral:rRNA from 1 species
GGCGGACGGGUGAGUAACGCGUAAGAACUUGCCCUUUAGACUGGGAUAACAGAGGGAAACUUCUGAUAAUACUGGAUAAGUUAGUAUAUCGCAUGAUAUGCAAAAUGAAAGCUACGGCACUAAAGGAGAGCUUUGCGUCCUAUUAGCUAGUUGGUAAGGUAAGAGCUUACCAAGGCGAUGAUAGGUAGCCGGCCUGAGAGGGUGGACGGCCACAAGGGGACUGAGAUACGGCCCUUACUCCUACGGGGAGGCAGCAGGU